rnacentral:lncRNA from 1 species
UAUAAAAACCUCAGUGGCUUAAAAUAAUACAAUAAAGCAUCACCUAAUGCCUUCUUGAUGCUGGCUCAUCAAUAAUGUGUGGUUAUGUGAAAAGGAUAGGAGAGGCUUAUCAUGUCUUACCUUAAACCAUGCCGGGAAUGUAAUGCCCUUUUAAUUACUAAAGGCAUCAGGGGAUUUUGUUUUCUCCAUCUUUACAUGGAGGAACUAAAACCUUGCAACUCUCCACUAUUACUUAGUUUUCAGCAUCUCAUGUAAGUAAAUGAAAUCUCAACUUAUUUCCAGUGAAUACAACAUGUUGACCUUCAUAUAUGUGGGCUGCAUAUUAGCAGGAUGAAAACUCCAGGAUCCAUCUCUGGCAAUGCAGGAGGGCUGCACUGAACCAUCCGGUGCUUGACAUUUAACGGAAGCCAAGGAACGUUUCCAGAAUGAAGAUCCAGAUGAAUAACUUGUCCCACCCCCCAUCCUGUGCCUAUAAAGAUCCCAGACUCAGUCAGCAGGGAGACAGAAGCGGCUUGACUGGAGAGAGGUGACUUGACUUCAGAGGGACGGCUGGACUUUGGAGGAGAGAUGGCUUAACUUUGGAGAAGAGCUGGCCAGAGACGGCCUGACUUCAAGGAAGUUUACCUGCCUGCCUGGUCACCUCUCCCACUCCCCUCUCUUCUGAGAGCCUUUUCCAUCACUAAAUAAAAUUCCCCACAUCUAACAUCCUUCAAGGGUCCAUGUGACCUCAUUCUUCUUGGACACCAGACAAGAGCUUGGGACUUACCGAGUGUGGGUACCCAGAAAAGGCUGUCACACUGGCCGUUUGCACUCAUUGGUAGAAGGCGGCCACCACACAGGACAAGGCAAGGGGCCCACUGAGAUGAUAACACCCCACUGUCCACGAACAGAGGAGCUAAGAGAGCAUUGUAACAUGCCCUCUGGGACUUCAGAGGUCGCAGGCACCCAACCUGGGUGCUGCCAGGGGGCCUGCACAGAGCCUGCUCCUUCUGGCACCCAAAGUGGACAGCUGGAUCCUGUACUUGCUCACUCAUGCACUCCCUCCUUCAAGAGGUUGAGCACGGCUGGCCAAGUAAUCAGAGCACCCCCAUCGCAAGUCCAACAAAGGGGUUGAGAAAAACUCCUGCAUCACCC